GACGUAGGGCGCGAGCGUUGUCCGGAUUUAUUGGGCGUAAAGAGCUCGUAGGCGGCUUGUCACGUCGGGUGUGAAAGACCGGGGCUUAACCCCGGUUCUGCAUUCGAUACGGGCUGGCUAGAGUGUGGUAGGGGAGAUCGGAAUCCUGGUGUAGCGGUGAAAUGCGCAGAUAUCAGGAGGAACACCGGUGGCGAAGGCGGAUCUCUGGGCCAUUACUGACGCUGAGGAGCGAAAGCGUGGGGAGCGAACAGG
rnacentral:rRNA from 1 species